rnacentral:misc_RNA from 1 species
CCAAAAUUGAAAAUCCAAAUGAUCAGGAAUCGACCGGUCUCAGUCUAUCCCUUGACCAAUCCGAAAACCCUGGUUUCGGGGACCGGACUAGCGGCCAGGCCUACGCCCGUCGAAACAAGUAAGGGUAGUUUUCCUAACCUCCAAGGACCCCAUCCCAACAGGCCUUAAAACUUAGCUCAACCAACGAGAUAUCGUUAUCCACUCAUGAUUUGUGAACGUACCAAGCUUUUCACUUCUUUAUCAGAAGAAACAAGAAUAAGACGAACCAGAGCAAAACGACGGUGGCUUCUCCUUCAUCUCUGCUCCUGCCAAUCGGCACACACUUUUUUCAAAUUAAUGUAUUUGUCUUCAAUCGUCAUUUCUUAAACAGAAACUCCGAGAAAUUGUUAGCAAAUUAGCUUGAUUAUGGUUGCUAGAUUCGGGUUCUGCGAGAAGUCUUUCUGCGAGUAGCCAUGCGUCCCUGUGAAAAAGUUCGGGGUUUCACUGUGCACUGCUCAAACUUUGAGCUCAGUGUCAGAGCUUCACGUGCAAGAGAUCAGUUCAAGGAUGUUAUUGGUUCAAUUAAGCGUAGGGAUGUACUUGGGUUAGUUCUUGGCGUUUCAAGCAUGCUAGUACACUCUUCUGAAGCUAAGGGAGCUGGCUUGCCUCCAGAGAUUAAGCCAAGGCUGUGUGAUGAUACUUGCGAGAAGGAGCUUGAAAAUGUAUGGUACCUAUGGUAACUACGGAGUCUGGAUUGCAAUACAAGGAUAUUAAAGUUGGUGAAGGCCCUAGUCCUCCAAUUGGUUUUCAGGUGGCUGCUAAUUAUGUUGCGAUGAUUCCAUCUGGACAAAUAUUUGAUAGUUCUCUGGAGAAAGGACAGCUUUAUAUUUUUCGUGUUGGCUCUGGUCAGGUAAGCUCCAUAUGUGGUUCCUCGUGAAUUUUGGUUCUGAAAUACUUUAUUUCCCUUAUCCCACAGUCAAAUAAUUAUGGAGAAGUCUCUAUCUCUGUGUAUAUUACUCACAUAAGAUAUUUUGUCGUAUAAUUGCUUCUCCAAAUUUCAAACUUCAAUUUUGUUCAAUUAGCUCUGUAGAUCAAGGCAAUUCAGCCAACCAUUUCAAUAGGAUUUGACUAUUCCUGAAUUACUUAACAUUGAUGACCAGAACAUAAAUAUCUUAAACUAAACCACUGUGGUUUUUCUGGGUGAGAUUAUUAUAUUAGCAACCAUGCAGACCUUAAAAUAAAUCUUUAGGAAAUAAGAAUCAAACCUACUUUCUUUAAGCAGCAGAAUGUUUUUGCCAAUUGAGAUUUUUUCUGUACUCUCUGAUUUUCAGUUUGAAUGACUAGAAUAGGUGAUCAAGGGACUUGAUGAAGGGAUUCUGAGCAUGAAAACUGGGGGAAAGCGUCGGCUCUACAUUCCUGGAUCGUUGGCAUUCCCAAAAGGUCUCACUUCAGCUCCAGGAAGGCCAAGGGUAGCUGCAAAUAGUCCUGUAAUUUUUGAUGUCAGUUUGGAAUAUGUACCUGGUCUUGAAUCAGAAGAGUAGGAGCCUCGUGCAUCUUCAUCUCAAAUUUGUCAUUGGCAUUCACCAAUUUGAGUUACUGCAUUGAGUGCCUUUCAUUAAUUCAAUUUUUUCAAAUGUUGUAUAAAUUGAGAAGUGUUCAUUUCUUGGUAUAAGUUAUGAGGAUUAAUGUCAAGAAUUUAACAACUCUGCAUUACCUUCAGAAGUCCCUUCUGUUUUUCUUUCUUUUUGUUCUUUGGAA